CUGGAAACGGUAGCUAAUACCGCAUAACGUCGCAAGACCAAAGAGGGGGACCUUCGGGCCUCUUGCCAUCGGAUGUGCCCAGAUGGGAUUAGCUAGUAGGUGGGGUAACGGCUCACCUAGGCGACGAUCCCUAGCUGGUCUGAGAGGAUGACCAGCCACACUGGAACUGAGACACGGUCCAGACUCCUACGGGAGGCAGCAGUGGGGAAUAUUGCACAAUGGGCGCAAGCCUGAUGCAGCCAUGCCGCGUGUAUGAAGAAGGCCUUCGGGUUGUAAAGUACUUUCAGCGGGGAGGAAGGGAGUAAAGUUAAUACCUUUGCUCAUUGACGUUACCCGCAGAAGAAGCACCGGCUAACU
rnacentral:rRNA from 1 species